AACGAACGCUGGCGGCAUGCCUAACACAUGCAAGUCGAACGAAGGCUUCGGCCUUAGUGGCGCACGGGUGCGUAACGCGUGGGAAUCUGCCCUUGGGUUCGGAAUAACAGCGGGAAACUGCUGCUAAUACCGGAUGAUGACGUAAGUCCAAAGAUUUAUCGCCCAAGGAUGAGCCCGCGUAGGAUUAGCUAGUUGGUGGGGUAAAGGCCCACCAAGGCGACGAUCCUUAGCUGGUCUGAGAGGAUGAUCAGCCACACUGGGACUGAGACACGGCCCAGACUCCUACGGGAGGCAGCAGUGGGGAAUAUUGGACAAUGGGCGAAAGCCUGAUCCAGCAAUGCCGCGUGAGUGAUGAAGGCCUUAGGGUUGUAAGGCUCUUUUACCCGGGAUGAUAAUGACAGUACCGGGAGAAUAAGCUCCGGCUAACUCCGUG
rnacentral:rRNA from 1 species